UACGAGGGGGGCGAGCGUUGUUCGGAAUUAUUGGGCGUAAAGGGUGCGUAGGCGGUUUGGUAAGUCUGAUGUGAAAUCUAUGGGCUCAACUCAUAGUCUGCAUCGGAAACUGCCGGGCUUGAGUGUGGGAGAGGUGAGUGGAAUUCCUGGUGUAGCGGUGAAAUGCGUAGAUAUCAGGAGGAACACCUGUGGCGAAAGCGGCUCACUGGACCAUAACUGACGCUGAUGCACGAAAGCUAGGGGAGCAAACGGG
rnacentral:rRNA from 1 species